UCACACACAUACAUACAUACACAAAUACAUACACACACACACACUCACACACACACUACAGUUAAGUGUUGCAGUAAAACAGCAUAGUUCAGAGCUCAAGGCUGUUUCUGGGGUUUUAUAACGUGUGUAAAUAGUUAAUGGGAGGUGUGCACACGUGUGACCACAAUCUAACACACGUGUGUAUACUCUACAUUAUAGAUGGUCUUGAACACGCAUAUACUCUACAUUAUAGAUGGUCUUGAACACACAUAUACUCUACAUUAUAGAUGGUUUUGAACACACAUAUACUCUACAUUAUAGAUGGUCUUGAACACGCAUAUACUCUACAUUAUAGAUGGUCUUGAACACGCAUAUACUCUACAUUAUAGAUGGUCUUGAACACACAUAUACUCUACAUUAUAGAUGGUCUUGAACACACAUAUACUCUACAUUAUAGAUGGUCUUGAACACGCAUAUACUCUACAUUAUAGAUGGUCUUGAACACGCAUAUACUCUACAUUAUAGAUGGUCUUGAACACACAUAUACUCUACAUUAUAGAUUGUCUUGAACACGCAUAUACUCUACAUUAUAGAUGGUCUUGAACACAGAUAUACUCUACAUUAUAGAUGGUCUUGAACACACAUAUACUCUACAUUAUAGAUGGUCUUGAACACACAUAUACUCUACAUUAUAGAUGGUCUUGAACACACAUAUAAGUUUUUAGGCUCAAAUGUCACUGAUUUGCUUCCAUAGACGAUCUGCAAGUUGGAACAGGGUACCUGAGUGGAGCAUAUAAGUGACUUCACUCAUAUUUGAGCCCCAGAGUAUCAAAUCCAGUCCCUCCUGAGAGGAAACACUGCUCCCUACUGGUCCCCAGCUUAACGGACAUUGAUUCCUAUUUCAGUCAUUCAGAUUAAGUUCUCUUUUAUAAACGUUGUGGAGUUGUUUUAUAGAAGUUACAAGAUGUUUUUUCUUUGGGGGGGGGGGGGUAUUUAGGCGAUCCUACAUGAAUAUGGUUUAGGUAGAAGGGUUAUGUAGGAAACAAUGUUUUACUUCUGAACCAACAAUCCCUUUCAUGUCACUAGUUAGUGUCUUGGCAACACCUCAGCCUUUAGAUAAGGGCAGCGUUGUGACAAAGUCCUCUGGUCUCUCCGCAAAUGAAGGACGUUCCAGAAAGUUCAGAUUAGGAAUGGACAAAGUGUUCUGCAGCUGUUUAAGAGUGUGAAUUUAUCAUUAGUAAUUUAAGGGUCUCACCCAGAUGUAGUCAUUUUUGCACUUCACGCUGAAUAGUUUAAAUAGACAGUGGUGGAGUAGUAGUAAUAAGAUUUACCUCAACAAUAAAGAGGACCACACAAUGUUUUUGAAAAUGCUUUAUUUAAACUACUGAACAACUAUAAAUACAAUAAGGCUUGAGUUAGCGUUUAUAACAAACAAACUGGUAAAAAACAGUGUAGAAUAGACCAGGACAUAGGAUAAGCUCUGCAAACAGGCAUUACCUCCUGCAGAACCCUUCUUCAAUUAGACAUGUCUGUGUACACAGCUAGCCUGCUAACAGCUAGCCUGCUACCAGUUAUGGAAAGCCUGCAAGCUGUUGCGGUUAGCUUUCUAUGAGCUGCGGCUAGGUGGCUAACGACCAGCCUUAUGAAGCUAGCAGCUAGCAGCCAGCUCUACAAGCCUUAUGAAGCUAGCAGCUAGCAGCCAGCUCAACAAGCCUUAAGAAGCUAGCAGCUAGCAGCCAGCUCAACAAGCCUUAAGAAGCUAGCAGCUAGCAGCCAGCUCAACAAGCCUUAUGAAGCUAGCAGCUAGCAGCCAGCUCAACCAGCCGCAUGAAGCUAGCAGCUAGCAGCCAGCUCAACAAGCCUUAUGAAGCUAGCAGCUAGCAGCCAGCUCAACAAGCCUUAUGAAGCUAGCAGCUCCAGGUCAAACUACACACACUAUUAGGUGAAUAGGAUGUAAAGAGGUUAAACGAUGUGAAGACCAGGCUGUUUCUACAAGAGUGUAAUAGAGGUGGAGGGACUGCUGAAUAGACUUAGAGACCAGGGUUAGCUCUGGAAAGACUUUAGUUCUGGGAGCUAACACAGUGAGAAACCUAGGAGAUGACUUAGGUUGGGAAUCAGACCUGCUUGCUUGGUUCCCUGGACCCCAAAUAAAACCAAAACAUGUUAAUAGCACAAUUAUAACAAUAAUAAUGACUAAUUAUAACAUAAUAAUGACUAAUUAUAACAUAAUAAUAACAACUUUGAAUGUUCAAAACUAUUGGACACUUUGGCAAAAAAAAGAGAAAAAAAGUUACUUUUUGCUACCUACGGUAUAUAUAAAGUAAAGAACAACAUGUUUACUCUUGGAAUAUAUUAUUUCUUCCAUUUCUUCUUUCUUCAUACACAACACAUAAUGCAUAUAUUAAAUAUAUCCUGACUUUUUGUCAUCAUAUAAGAACACAUUACCAGCAGAGGCCCCAAACACAGUGGGUCUGACUUGUGGUGUCUGAAACAUGUCAAAGUGAGCUGUAUCUUCAUGUUUGUUAAAGCCACCUCUGUUUCUCUUGUGGAGAGGACAGUUUGUGUAAAAACACAACAAUGGAUUGAUCUUGACACUUCCAUUCUUAAACUGAAUUGAGACUCGCUUGUUUGGCCUCUAAAUUAACCCUGAUAACGUUGUCAGCAUGAUACAGCAGCUUAGUAUUUAAAGGAGUAUACAUGUGUGUGUGUAUUUCUGUGUCUUGUUCCAGUUGAUUCCAGCACAAAGCAGUUUCACCCCAACAGUGCUUGCUUAACAUUCUUCAGGGUCAUAUUUACUUCAUGAGAGCAAAACCUCUCUCUUACACACACACACACACAGGUGUUUGGAAACCACAAAACGUUCUCACACAACAUCACUGCAAGUAUUAAACAUCAGAACCUUCAUGUGAUAAUGGCAAUCUCUUGCCUUCUUAUAAAUACAGUUAAGUGCAUCUUGAUCAAACAGAGGAGGGGAGACAGAAACAACAGUACCACAGAGGAGGUCAGGGUUAGUGGCCUUCAGACAUAUUUAGGGAGUGUUUGAAAUGUGAGAAAACAUUCGUAGAAAGAUGACAUCACACGAGGUAGGCUUCAGUAGGCCUGUGAUAAACUACAAACCCCAGCAUCCUUAGCACAUACAUCAGUUUGGUUAGGCACAGGUCGGCACUUUCAGAUCUCUGAUAGAAAAGGCACUGCAGUAAAACCGAUAAUGGCACAUAUGAAUCACCGAGAUGUGAAACUCUCUGAGCAGGGAGAUCUCCAGCAGAAAGGCAGAGGAGGAGAGAGGCAGGUGACAGGUCUGUUGGUGUUCAGGUUCCACCAGGUCACUCAUCACCAGCUAAGCAUAUUUGGUUCAAUCCAAGUAGUCAAAUAAGUGCAAAUGCACUCAAGAAAAAAAAGUACAAGGAAAUUGUCUCAUCUGUUCAUAUUUGUUCACCUUCCAAGAGUCAAGCAGUGAAAGCGAAUGCUAAAGACAUGAUACAUGAACGCAAAA